rnacentral:lncRNA from 1 species
AAUUGUACAGAGAGGCUCUUAUUAUAUUGUCCAGGCUGGUCAAUAUAUUAUAUUAUAUAUUAUAUUGUCUCUGGCCUCAAGUGUUCCUCCCCCCUUGACCUCCCAAAGUGCUGGGAUUACAGGUGUGAGCCACCGUGCCCGGCCAUGCCUAGUUUUUCUAGUUACACAGGCAGUGUGUCCCCACCUGCACCAACUACAUGGGGCUCAUCCUCAGCACAGC